rnacentral:rRNA from 1 species
GACGAACGCUGGCGGCGUGCUUAACACAUUCAAGUCGAACGGAAAGGCCCUGCUUUUGUGGGGUGCUCGAGUGGCGAACGGGUGAGUAACACGUGAGUAACCUGCCCUUGACUUUGGGAUAACUUCAGGAAACUGGGGCUAAUACCGGAUAGGAGCUCCUUCUGCAUGGUGGGGGUUGGAAAGUUUCGGCGGUUGGGGAUGGACUCGCGGCUUAUCAGCUUGUUGGUGGGGUAGUGGCUUACCAAGGCUUUGACGGGUAGCCGGCCUGAGAGGGUGACCGGCCACAUUGGGACUGAGAUACGGCCCAGACUCAUACGGGAGGCAGCAGUGAGGAAGAUUGAAAAAUGGGAGGAAGCCAGAUGAAGCGACGCCGCGUGCGGGAUGACGGCCUUCGGGUUGUAAACCGCUGUCGUGUGUGACGAAGCGUGAGUGACGGUAAUGGGUAAAGAAGCACCGGCUAACUACGUG